rnacentral:rRNA from 1 species
UACAGAGGUCCCAAGCGUUGUUCGGAUUCAUUGGGCGUAAAGGGUGUGUAGGUGGCGCCGUAAGUCGGGUGUGAAAUCUCGGGGCUUAACUCCGAAACUGCAUUCGAUACUGCGGUGCUUGAGGACUGGAGAGGAGACUGGAAUUCAUGGUGUAGCAGUGAAAUGCGUAGAGAUCAUGAGGAAGACCAGUGGCGAAGCGGGUCUCUGGACAGUUCCUGACACUGAGACACGAAGGCCAGGGGAGGCAAACAGG